rnacentral:rRNA from 1 species
AUUGAACGCUGGCGGCAGGCCUAACACAUGCAAGUCGAACGGUAACAGGAAGAAGCUUGCUUCUUUGCUGACGAGUGGCGGACGGGUGAGUAAUGUCUGGGAAACUGCCUGAUGGAGGGGGAUAACUACUGGAAACGGUAGCUAAUACCGCAUAACGUCGCAAGACCAAAAAGGGGGACCUUCGGGCCUCUUGCCAUCGGAUGUGCCCAGAUGGGAUUAGCUGGUAGGUGGGGUAACGGCUCACCUAGGCGACGAUCCCUAGCUGGUCUGAGAGGAUGACCAGCCACACUGGAACUGAGACACGGUCCAGACUCCUACGGGAGGCAGCAGUGGGGAAUAUUGCACAAUGGGCGCAAGCCUGAUGCAGCCAUGCCGCGUGUAUGAAGAAGGCCUUCGGGUUGUAAAGUACUUUCAGCGGGGAGGAAGGGAGUAAAGUUAAUACCUUUGCUCAUUGACGUUACCCGCAGAAGAAGCACCGGCUAACUCCGUG